GAUGAACGCUAGCGGGAGGCUUAACACAUGCAAGUCGAGGGGCAUCACGAGGUAGCAAUACUUUGGUGGCGACCGGCGCACGGGUGAGUAACACGUAUGCAACCUACCCUGUACAGGGGGAUAACCCGGAGAAGUUCGGACUAAUAUCCCAUGAUGAUAUUGAGGGGCAUCCUUUAAUAUUUAAAGCUCAGGCGGUACGGGAUGGGCAUGCGGAACAUUAGCUAGUUGGCAGGGUAACGGCCUACCAAGGCUACGAUGUUUAGGGGACCUGAGAGCGUUAUCCCCCACACUGGUACUGAGACACGGACCAGACUCCUACGGGAGGCAGCAGUGAGGAAUAUUGGUCAAUGGGCGCAAGCCUGAACCAGCCAUCCCGCGUGAAGGAAGAAGGCGCUAUGCGUUGUAAACUUCUUUUCCAGGGGAAUAAAAUUUUGUACGUGUACGGAAUUGAAGGUACCCUGGGAAUAAGCAUCGGCUAACUCCGUGCCAGCCGCCGCGGUAAGAC
rnacentral:rRNA from 1 species